CCCGGACACCAUGAUAAAUAUUUUCAAGGGGUGGGAGCAAAGACUCGAACCCGGUCCUCAGAGUGAAAAGCCGAAGCGUUUCCACGUUUAACAAUUUUCCGACGUUUUAACAAUUUUGAAAAAGAGCGUAUAGAGCCGUUUUUCUAUUUAAUUCUGAAGUAAACGAAUUUUAUUAUUCUAAGAAGAGAGCCGUUUAUACAGUAGACCAUAUGUGCUUCAGUAUGUUGACCAGUAGGAAGACAAAGAGAUGGCCUCUUUACGAUAUGUUACUUCGCCUCAUUUCGAUAUGCUAGACUUGACAAUUAUAAAUGUAUAUGUUAUUUACGUUUGCAAUAAUACUUGGAAUAAGAAAAAAACGAAUUUAUUAAGGCGGGAUUUUAUUUUGAAAAUGGCAGAUCUUAUGCACGCAUAUUUGCUUAAAAGAGUCAACACUCCCUGUUUAAGAUACAAUAUCAGAGAAUCUAUAAGAGAAAUUCUACAAAUUCAACUUCAGGCUAGUACCUCAGAAAAAGUUUGU
rnacentral:lncRNA from 1 species